AUGAACCCAUCGCAAAUGCAAACCCUAGCUACUGUAAACCCUAUUUAAUCCCCUAUAACUCUCAUACAUUCAGCAUCAAAAGUAUUCAAUCUCGAUUGGUUUAUUUCGGCGAUCAACACACACUAAAAUCAAUGCCUAUGCCUCUUCAAGCAGACGGGCGGUCUGAAAUGAUGCCAUGUUGAUUGUCUGCAUAAUAUCCUCAACGAGGAUUCGAAUUCUGAGAUUUUUAAUGUAAGUCGAUUGUAGACUUUAUUUGAUUCUUUUUUCGUGUUCAAUUUUAAUGAUUUUUAAAUUUUCAUGAGCUGCUGUGAUGAAUAUGCAAUUUUUAUAUGUCUGGACUUAUGAGACACUGUCUUUGAAAUGAUGCGCAUACUUUCUGAGCUUCAAAUGAUCAAUUUAAUAACAAAAUCGUAUUUUUAUAAAAUUGAAAGUAAUUAAAUCUUGAUUUGGAUGUUUAAAUGAAGGGCUGCUGUGAUUAUAAACAAAAAGAUUUAAUAUCUGAAUGCUAUUUCGAUGGCAUGAUAGACUCUUUUACACCCAUAGAAUAUGAGCACCCAUAUCGUAAACUUGUUAUAUAUUACUACUAUAUUAAUUUUUUACAAUUUGGCCACUUUUUAUGUCACUUGUUCAAUUUCAAAACAUUUAAAUAACUUUGGAUGGGAUUUGUAAAUGUUGCAGUGAUUAUAAAAAAUUCCUCGUUCUGAAUGCCAUAUCUAUGGCAUGACAGACAAAUUUACAAUAGAAUAUGAGCAACGUCUUUUGAAUGAGUUUUAAUUUUUAAUCAUUUAUAUUUAUAUGUAAGAUAGUUGUGUUGUUUAAUUAGAGAUUUUUAAAGGAAAUGAUAAAUAAGAAAGGACAGUAGUUUUAUACAGUAUUACUGCCCUUGUUGUCAAUUCCAAAAGCCUAUUGUAAUAAGGUGGUGUUUAAAGCUCUUGUUUUCAGUUUUUACAAUUCAGAGUUACGCACACCUCCAAAUUUUAAAUUUUAAAAACUACAGCUCCCCAAAUAGCAAAAAUUCUUUGAAGACAACAGAACCUCAAAUAGCAAUUGACUUCCUACAAAUCUUAGCUCUGGAUUUAACAUAGCAAAGUGAAUUAAACAAUUCUUGUUUGAUAGAGAUAGAGAUUAAUCUUCUUUUAAAGUUAAGACUGGUUUUAUUUAAGACUGGUUGUGAGUCACUAAAGAAUUGUGUAUGCUUAAAUCUUCGACUAAGAACCCAAAUAGAAACUGAUUUAAAGAACAAUUGGGAAAUCCAUAAUUCAAGAAAGAGCAAGAAGGAAAUUGGUAAUUCAAGAACUCCUUUGAACCAUAUGAUUUCAUGCCAUUACACUGAAAACAUAUGAUUUCAAGAACAAAAACAAUGAAUUCGCAAACAAAAAAUCAUGAAAGCCACAAAUCAAAACUAGAACAUAUGAAAUUGAGGUCAUAUAUCCAAAACAAAACAUUCAAACCCGUGAAUAUCAAUAUGAAAAGAAGUUAUACAUCUUUUAAGGUAAUAUCGCCAGCAAUCCUUUGAUAAGCAGACCUGAGGGAGGAAGAAGAUGAACUUAUUGAAGAUGAAGAAAACUCAAACCUAGAAAAUGAAGAUGAAUGAUUUCAAACUGUCAUUGUAAUUCUUUGGAACACCGCCGGAUGUUGUUUCCCCUCCCCCAAUUUAACUUGUAUUUUCCUUGGCAUCUUGAAUUGACGGUCUCUCUCUCCAUGAUUGCUCCAUCACAAUGAAUUUCUUUAUGGUGAUGGAAUGGAAGUGAAUUGUGUUUUACCCGGUUUAAGAGUAUUUUGUUGUAGCAUCAACAAAUGACACUCCAUUUAGACAUUGAUUAUGUUGCGAGUCUGAUGACUAGUCCUUAACUUAGGAAUGUGAAUUAAUUGAAGAUAUGAACGCAGUAGAUGGUGUUUAUGGUGAUAGAAUGAAAGUGAAUAGAGUAAGGUGAUGUAAUUGGGUUGUGUAAUUGGGUUGUGUUAUUGGAACGCCUAAGAACUGCCCCUCUUUUACUGUUA